rnacentral:rRNA from 1 species
UGCUCUUCUAGCUCAACUUCCUCCCCGAUGAAAAUCACCAAAACUCACUACAACACCAAACUAAAACAUUCUAAAGUCUAAGUAUAGGCGAUAGAAAGGACACCAGACGCAAUAGAAAAUGUACCGUAAGGGAAAGAUGAAAUAACAGUGAAAACCCAAACAAAAAAACAGCAAAGACCAACCCUUGUACCUUUUGCAUCAUGAUUUAGCAAGAACAACCGGGCAAAGCGAACUUAAGUCCGCCCUCCCGAAACCUAAGCGAGCUACUCACAAGCAGCUAUUACAUGAGCAAACCCGUCUCUGUCGCAAAAGAGUGGGAUGACUUGUUAGUAGAGGUGAAAAGCCAACCGAGCUAGGUGAUAGCUGGUUGCCUGUGAAACGAAUCUAAGUUCCCCUUUAACUUCGUCCUCCCCGGACACCGAUCUAGCCUACAAGACAAGUUAAAAGCUAUUCAAGGGAGGUACAGCUCCCUUAAAAAAGAAUACAACCUCAACUAGCGGAUAACCCUUCCCCGACACACCUGUGGGCCUUAAAGCAGCCACCAACAAAGAGUGCGUCAAAGCUCAAACGACCAAAAAUCCCACCACAACAUGACUCCCUUACCCCUAACAGGCCAACCUAUGACUAUAGGAGAAUUUAUGCUAAAAUAAGUAACUAGGGACAUACUCCCUCUAGGCGCAAGCUUACAUUAACACAUUAUUAACAGACUUUCAACUCAUAUUUACACCCAACAAGAAUACAUAUCAGAUCCCCUGUUAACCCAACCCCGGAGCGCCCAUAAGAACGAUUAAAAUCUGCAGAAGGAACUCGGCAAACCCACAAGGCCCGACUGUUUACCAAAAACAUAGCCUUCAGCCAACAACAAGUAUUGAAGGUGAUGCCUGCCCAGUGACCCUAGUUCAACGGCCGCGGUAUCCUAACCGUGCAAAGGUAGCGCAAUCAAUUGUCCCAUAAAUCGAGACUUGUAUGAAUGGCUAAACGAGGCCUUAACUGUCUUCUACAGAUAAUCAGUGAAAUUGACCUCCCCGUGCAAAAGCGAGGAUGUGGACAUAAGACGAGAAGACCCUGUGGAACUUAAAAAUCAACGGCCACCACGCACUAAACAAACCCCCACUGGGCCUACAUUCAACAGACACCUGGCCGACAUUUUUUGGUUGGGGCGACCUUGGAGAAAAACAAAUCCUCCAAAAAUAAGACCACAACUCCUCACCAAGAGCAACCCUUCAAAGUACUAACAGUAACCAGACCCAAUACUAAUUGACCAAUGAACCAAGCUACCCCAGGGAUAACAGCGCAAUCCCCUCCAAGAGCCCAUAUCGACAAGGGGGUUUACGACCUCGAUGUUGGAUCAGGACAACCUAAUGGUGCAGCCGCUAUUAAGGGUUCGUUUGUUCAACGAUUAACAGUCCUACGUGAUCUGAGUUCAGACCGGAGCAAUCCAGGUCGGUUUCUAUCUAUGACGCACUUUCCCUAGUACGAAAGGACCGAGAAAGUGAGGCCAAUACCACAAGCACGCCUCCCACUCUAAAUAGUGAACCCAACUUAACUAUCAAGAGACCGCCACACCACCACGUACCAUCCAAGAAAAGGAUUA